rnacentral:lncRNA from 1 species
CAAGUUCUGAAUUGCAUGUUGCUAGGAGCCCUGUGGCUGCUUGGUGGUGAGGAGGCUGGAGUUGGCCUCGGGGUGAAGCAGAGAGACCAGCUAAGAGGGCACUGCCCAGCAAUCCUGGUGACAGACAGUGGGCCCUGUGGGUGAAGUCUGUGUGCACUUCUUGUCCUGCAGAGGGAACAAGCAGGACGAGGAGGAGAACCAGGUGUCAGCGUGAAGAAAAUGAGAGCACUGGGGAGAACGAAGGCAGGCUGUUUCCUUCAGGUCCACUGGGCGACGGACAGUGAUUGUGGCCUCAAGAUCCAAUCACCCAGAGAGAGGUGUGAGGGAACUCAGCUCCCGGCUUUCUCGGUUGUCCUCUCUUCCUGAAUCCAUCUGUGGUGUCAACCAGUCAUGGAUGCAGGAGACUCUGAAGUUAAGCCCAGCAGCACCACACUGAGCAUCCUGAGGAAGAGACCUGAAUACUUAAAGCCCCAAAACCUUGCCUGCAAAAACAUGGUUCUGCAUAAGACAGGUGAGCUCAGAAUCGUCACUGAGGUCUGGGGCAGUGUGGACUCAGCAGCUGAGGCAGCCUGAAGUCACCGUCCACCUGGAGAGCUGGGUCAGAAGAUGGAGGCAGAGACAAAUAUCCCGUGUCUCUGUUUAGCCUUAUUUCAGGUCAGUGGGUAUGAUUUUACCUGAGGCAUUUGCUUUGAGUCUUUACCAAACACUGUGGAAUCGGAUUACCACUGAUCUAGACAUUCUCAGACAUCACCGGAAGUUCAUGUCCGCGGAGGCGGGCCCAGGGCAGGGGCAGGUGCGGCCAUGGGCGGUACCUGGAGCCUGCGCGGGCUCCGCCCACAAGCCAGUGGCUGCUAGUGCGCAGGCGCCAGAUGGAGUGCACGCAUGGGACAGGGAGGACGCAGAGGCGGUCCUAAGGCCUGCUCGAGGAGGCGGGGUCACA